rnacentral:rRNA from 1 species
UGAUACGCGAGGAACCUUACCAGGGCUUAAAUGCAGAACGACAGAGGUGGAAACACCUCCUUCUUCGGACGGUCUGCAAGGUGCUGCAUGGUUGUCGUCAGCUCGUGCUGUGAAGUGUCGGGUUAAGUCCCAUAACGAGCGCAACCCCUAUUUCUAGUUGCCAGCGGUUCGGCCGGGGACUCUAGAGAAACUGCCAGCGUAAGCUGUGAGGAAGGUGGGGAUGACGUCAAAUCAUCACGGCCCUUACGUCCUGGGCUACACACGUGCUACAAUGGUAGGGACAGAGAGUUGCCAACCCGCGAGGGUGAGCUAAUCUUCAAACCCUAUCUCAGUUCGGAUCGGAGUCUGCAACUCGACUCCGUGAAGUUGGAAUCGCUAGUAAUCGCAUAUCAGCCAUGAUGCGGUGAAUACGUUCCCGGGCCUUGUACACACCGCCCGUCAAGCCAUGGAAGCUGGGGGCGCCUGAAGUCGGUCACCGUAAGGAGCUGCCUAGGGCGAAACUAGUAACUGGGGCUAAGUCGUAACAAGGUAA